GGCACUUUGGCGGAGUGGUUAACGCGAUGCCCUGCUAUACCGUAUUUGGAUUAGUGUAGGCAUUCCCUUCGGGGGCGUGAGUUCGAAUCUCACAGGUGUCG